AUGGGGCUCGGGGAAGGGGAGGGAUGGGCAGGAUGUGGAGCGGGGCAGGCACGGGACAGGAGCGGGACAGAGGCGGGGAGGCCGGGGGGGGGGGGGGGGGGGGGGGGGGGGGGGGGGGGGGGGGGGGGGGGGGGGGGGGGGGGGGGGGGGGGGCGGGUGCGAGCCAGUCCGGCGCGGGUGGGACAGGGGUGGAACACAGCGGGGGCGCGGUCCCGGUCCCGGUGGACACGGGAUGCACACGGGAUAGCUGCGGCCCCGGUGCAAUCCCGGUGGGAUCGGACACGGGUUACACACAGAAUUAUCGGCCGGUCGUGGUCCCGGUGUGGCCCCGGUGGACACGGGUUGGUUACACACGGGAUGGAUGCUGUCCCGGUGCCGGUCCCGGUGCCGGUCCCGGUGGCGGGGGCGCGGUCCCGGUCCCGGUGGACACGGGAUGCACACGGGAUAGCUGCGGCCCCGGUGCAAUCCCGGUGGGAUCGGACACGGGUUACACACAGAAUUAUCGGCCGGUCGUGGUCCCGGUGUGGCCCCGGUGGACACGGGUUGGUUACACACGGGAUGGAUGCUGUCCCGGUGCCGGUGCCGGUGCCUGUCCUGGUGGGAUCGCACACGGUACACACGGAUGCGGUGCCGGUGCCGGUGCCGGUGGGAUCGCACACGGUACACACGGAUGCGGUGCCGGUGCCGGUGCCGGUGGGAUCGCACACGGUACACACGGAUGCGGUGCCGGUGCCGGUGCCGGUGGGAUCGCACACGGUACACACGGAUGCGGUGCCGGUGCCGGUGCCGGUGGGAUCGCACACGGUACACACGGAUGCGGUGCCGGUGCCGGUGCCGGUGGGAUCGCACACGGUACACACGGAUGCGGUGCCGGUGCCGGUGCCGGUGGGAUCGCACACGGUACACACGGAUGCGGUGCCGGUGCCGGUGCCGGUGGGAUCGCACACGGUACACACGGAUGCGGUGCCGGUGCCGGUGCCGGUGGGAUCGCACACGGUACACACGGAUGCGGUGCCGGUGCCGGUGCCGGUGGGAUCGCACACGGUACACACGGAUGCGGUGCCGGUGCCGGUGCCGGUGGGAUCGCACACGGUACACACGGAUGCGGUGCCGGUGCCGGUGCCGGUGGGAUCGCACACGGUACACACGGAUGCGGUGCCGGUGCCGGUGCCGGUGGGAUCGCACACGGUACACACGGAUGCGGUGCCGGUGCCGGUGCCGGUGGGAUCGCACACGGUACACACGGAUGCGGUGCCGGUGCCGGUGCCGGUGGGAUCGCACACGGUACACACGGAUGCGGUGCCGGUGCCGGUGCCGGUGGGAUCGCACACGGUACACACGGAUGCGGUCCCGGUGCCGGCGCUAUCCCUUCAGCACCACGGCGGCUCCGCAGCCCCGAGCGGGAGCGGCUCCGGCAGCGCUGGAAGGGAAACCCCGAUACCCCAGCGGGAUGAGCUCCAUCCUCCGCCGUGCACGGCGAAAUUUAAAAAAAAAAAAAUAAAAUAUUUUAAAAUGUCCUUCUCGCGGUUUAGAUUUCAUAUGGGUUUGUGCUGGAAAACAAAUUAA
rnacentral:lncRNA from 1 species